CCCGAAGGUAUCCUGAAUCUUUCGCAUUGUUAAUCAUACAAGUGCAUAUAAUAAACACAAAAAUCAAUGAUAAUCAUGCCAUUAUAUAAUUCCGAAAAAUUAACGCACUGUAUUCAUAUAAAUCUAUCAGCACUUUAUCAAAUUAAAGACAUUUAUUUUAUGUUAAAAUGCAAGCAUUUUAAUUUAAAUAAACUUUUAUCUAAAAUUUUUUGAUAAAUUAUUUUUAACUAAUAGAUUACAAUGUCCUUAUAUGGAAAAAAUG
rnacentral:rRNA from 1 species